GGGUGCUUAGCUCAGUGGGAGAGCGCUUCCUUCACACGGAAGAGGUCACAGGUUCGAAACCUGUAGCACCCACCA
rnacentral:tRNA from 1 species